rnacentral:snoRNA from 1 species
AACCCAUGAUUUGGGCAUUUUCUCAAUAUCUUUUUAAAUAUUUCUCAUGUCUCACAAAAGACUUCAUCCACCCUUUUUUCUGAACAUAGAGAUUUUAGACUUGGCUU